rnacentral:rRNA from 1 species
GGCUCAGGACGAACGCUGGCGGCGUGCUUAACACAUGCAAGUCGAACGGAAAGGCCCUGCUUUUGUGGGGUGCUCGAGUGGCGAACGGGUGAGUAACACGUGAGUAACCUGCCCUUGACUUUGGGAUAACUUCAGGAAACUGGGGCUAAUACCGGAUAGGAGCUCCUGCUGCAUGGUGGGGGUUGGAAAGUUUCGGCGGUUGGGGAUGGACUCGCGGCUUAUCAGCUUGUUGGUGGGGUAGUGGCUUACCAAGGCUUUGACGGGUAGCCGGCCUGAGAGGGUGACCGGCCACAUUGGGACUGAGAUACGGCCCAGACUCCUACGGGAGGCAGCAGUGGGGAAUAUUGCACAAUGGGCGGAAGCCUGAUGCAGCAACGCCGCGUGCGGGAUGACGGCCUUCGGGUUGUAAACCGCUUUCGCCUGUGACGAAGCGUGAGUGACGGUAAUGGGUAAAGAAGCACCGGCUAACUACGUGCCAGCAGCCGCGGUGAUACGUAGGGUGCGAGCGUUGUCCGGAUUUAUUGGGCGUAAAGGGCUCGUAGGUGGUUGAUCGCGUCGGAAGUGUAAUCUUGGGGCUUAACCCUGAGCGUGCUUUCGAUACGGGUUGACUUGAGGAAGGUAGGGGAGAAUGGAAUUCCUGGUGGAGCGGUGGAAUGCGCAGAUAUCAGGAGGAACACCAGUGGCGAAGGCGGUUCUCUGGGCCUUUCCUGACGCUGAGGAGCGAAAGCGUGGGGAGCGAACAGGCUUAGAUACCCUGGUAGUCCACGCUGUAAACGGUGGGUACUAGGUGUGGGGUCCAUUCCACGGGUUCCGUGCCGUAGCUAACGCUUUAAGUACCCCGCCUGGGGAGUACGGCCGCAAGGCUAAAACUCAAAGGAAUUGACGGGGCCCCGCACAAGCGGCGGAGCAUGCGGAUUAAUUCGAUGCAACGCGUAGAACCUUACCUGGGUUUGACAUGGAUCGGGAGUGCUCAGAGAUGGGUGUGCUCUUUUGGGGUCGGUUCACAGGUGGUGCAUGGCUGUCGUCAGCUCGUGUCGUGAGAUGUUGGGUUAAGUCCCGCAACGAGCGCAACCCUUGUUCACUGUUGCCAGCACGUUAUGGUGGGGACUCAGUGGAGACCGCCGGGGUCAACUCGGAGGAAGGUGGGGAUGACGUCAAGUCAUCAUGCCCCUUAUGUCCAGGGCUUCACGCAUGCUACAAUGGCUGGUACAGAGAGUGGCGAGCCUGUGAGGGUGAGCGAAUCUCGGAAAGCCGGUCUCAGUUCGGAUUGGGGUCUGCAACUCGACCUCAUGAAGUCGGAGUCGCUAGUAAUCGCAGAUCAGCAACGCUGCGGUGAAUACGUUCCCGGGGCUUGUACACACCGCCCGUCAAGUCAUGAAAGUUGGUAACACCCGAAGCCGGUGGCCUAACCGUUGUGGGGGAGCCGUCGAAGGUGGGACUGGUGAUUAGGACUAAGUCGUAACAA